rnacentral:sRNA from 1 species
UUUUUACUUGGAAUAAAGUGUUCCUUUCCGUCCCGAUAGCUAUCGGGACGGAAAGGUUUAACGGAAUGGAAAGUAA